GACGAACGCUGGCGGCGCGCCUAACACAUGCAAGUCGAACGAGCGAGAGAGAGUUUGCUUUCUCGAGCGAGUGGCGAACGGGUGAGUAACGCGUGAGGAACCUGCCUCAAAGAGGGGGACAACAGUUGGAAACGACUGCUAAUACCGCAUAAGCCCACGACCCGGCAUCGGGUAGAGGGAAAAGGAGCAAUCCGCUUUGAGAUGGCCUCGCGUCCGAUUAGCUAGUUGGUGAGGUAACGGCCCACCAAGGCGACGAUCGGUAGCCGGACUGAGAGGUUGAACCGCCACAUUGGGACUGAGACACGGCCCAGACUCCUACGGGAGGCAGCAGUGGGGAAUAUUGCACAAUGGGGGAAACCCUGAUGCAGCGACGCCGCGUGGAGGAAGAAGGUCUUCGGAUUGUAAACUCCUGUUGUUGAGGAAGAUAAUGACGGUACUCAACAAGGAAGUGACGGCUAACUACGUG
rnacentral:rRNA from 1 species